UUAGUACUCCCUCCGUCCGGAAAUACUUGUUAUCGAAAUGGAUAAAAGGGGAUGUAUUUAGAUGUAUUUUAGUUCUACAUACAUCUCUUUCUAUCUAUUUUGAUGACAAGUAUUUCCGGACGGAGGGAGUACUAC
rfam:Triticum aestivum genome assembly, contig: Triticum_aestivum_CS42_TGACv1_scaffold_180306_2DS